ACAGAGGUCUCAAGCGUUGUUCGGAUUCAUUGGGCGUAAAGGGUGCGUAGGCGGCGCGGUGAGUCGGGUGGGAAAUCUCGGAGCUUAACUCCGAAACUGCAUUCGAUACUGCCGUGCUUGAGGACUGGAGAGGAGACUGGAAUUUACGGUGUAGCGGUGAAAUGCGUAGAUAUCGUAAGGAAGACCAGUGGCGAAGGCGGGUCUCUGGACAGUUCCUGACGCUGAGGCACGAAGGUCAGGGGAGCAAACGGG
rnacentral:rRNA from 1 species